AGACCAUCAUGUCGGUCGUGCCUCGGUACGUACUGGUAUUGUUGGUUUCUCCCUUCCUGAUGAACCUUAAUGUCAUUUAUUUGGUGUUGUGGGGAAUCAGGACUGUUACUUUGAAAAAAUUAGAGUGUUUAAAGCAGGCUCACGCUUGAAUACAUUAGCAUGGAAUAAUGAAAUAGGACAUUUGAUUCUAUUUUGUUGGUUUCUAGAGUCGCCGUA
rnacentral:rRNA from 1 species